rnacentral:lncRNA from 1 species
AUGAACGUUGAGUUGCCUGCAAGGCGUCUGGGGAGCCCGGAGGUGCGGCUGAGCUGUUGGCGCCCCGGGACUGAGCUUUUUUCCGGUGGGGCUGCGGUGGCAUCAGUUUCAGAGCCUCUGGCCCAGCAGCCCCGCCAGGAGGAAGCUCCCUGCAGACGUGGCCCAGCGGGCCUGCAGCAGCCACAGGCCCCAGAGGAAGUGAGCCGCUCACCCCCGCCUCUCGCCGGCCCUGGGGCCCCCGGCGACCUGGGAACCCGGAACCUGCUUUGGUUUGGAACCUCGGACCACCAUUCGAGAUCCGUGGCCUUCAUUUCCUGGUGUGGGCGAAGCAGCCAGGGCUGGCGAGGCAGGGAUGGAGCCGGAGUCCCUCUACAACCUGCUGCAGGCCCCGGGGAAGGUGGACCCACCGGCGGCAGAAACACUGGCACAAGUUGCCCCCAUAUCGCUCGUACCCCCAGUCUCUGGGUUAAGAGUGACGUGGAUGAAGAUACUCGUUGCUGUGCGUGCCUUGGUCCAGAGCCGCAGGGCUGACCUCAUGAACUGGUGUUCUCGGUUUAUACACGGUUUAAGCUGGAAAGCAUCACAAGGAAAGUGGCCAUGGGGGUGGCAGGGCUUGGGGUUGGAAAAAACAUUUCUUUUUUGUUUUAGAGCUGGUUUAGAGCUCCUUAAAAUUCUGGCGGCAGAGCCGGAACAUGGGAUGAUUCUGAGAGGCAACGCAUCGGCUCCAGGGAAGGGCCACGGCCAGUCGUGCACCCCCUGCCACCCCCGCCCCAGCAUUUGUCAAGAGCCCGCCCCCCACUCGGGUCAGAAGCCAUGGGCUGGGGGAGUGCUCCCAGCCCUCCGAGCGCUACCCUCGGAGGUGUUCAGUGUCUAGAAGUCUCCAGCCAGGCCAUGUGAACACAGAGAU